rnacentral:rRNA from 1 species
GAUGAACGCUGGCGGCGUGCCUAAUACAUGCAAGUCGAGCGAACAGACGAGGAGCUUGCUCCUCUGACGUUAGCGGCGGACGGGUAAGUAACACGUGGAUAACCUACCUAUAAGACUGGGAUAACUUCGGGAAACCGGAGCUAAUACCGGAUAAUAUAUUGAACCGCAUGGUUCAAUAGUGAAAGACGGUUUUGCUGUCACUUAUAGAUGGAUCCGCGCCGCAUUAGCUAGUUGGUAAGGUAACGGCUUACCAAGGCAACGAUGCGUAGCCGACCUGAGAGAGGGGUAGGGCCCACACGGGAAGGGAGACGGGCCCGAGACCCACGGGGGGCGAAGAGGGGGGAAAUUCCCCAAAGGGGGAAAACGCGUGAGGGCAAAGCGCCGUGAGGGAGAAAAGGGUUUGGGGCUUAAAAAACUCUGUUAUGGGGAAAAAAAAAGUGUAAAAAAAACUGCGCGCUUUGAGGGGACCCAUACAGAAAACCCCGGGUAAAUAAAC